GGACUACAGGGGUAUCUAAUCCUGUUUGCUCCCCACGCUUUCGCUCCUCAGCGUCAGAACAGGCCCAGAGAACCGCCUUCGCCACCGGUGUUCCUCCCGAUAUCUGCGCAUUUCACCGCUACACCGGGAAUUCCAUUCUCCCCUGCCUGCCUCUAGCUAGCCCGUAUCCACUGCAAGCCCGGGGUUAAGCCCCGGGAUUUCACAGCAGACGCGACAAGCCGCCUACGAGCUCUUUACGCCCAAUAAUUCCGGACAACGCUUGCGCCCUACGUAUUACCGCGGCUGCUGGCAC
rnacentral:rRNA from 1 species